rnacentral:lncRNA from 1 species
GAACAAGGAAGUGCAAGGAUGAGUGUGUGGGUACCAGUGCCGCUGGCUGUGUGGGGCCCUGCUUCACAUAACAGCUUGUCUCUCUGGCUCCUGUUUCCCUGCUGUAGGUUCUCAGAGAACUUUCCACUGAAAUUUAUACGUAUUAAAUAACUGUUAGCAAAACACUGUUAAAAGCUGCUUGGUGUUACUGCAGGCUGUAGCUUCAUUUUGUCUGACAUCUGCAUUUGCAGUCUGGUACUGAAUGUCACUCAGUCCAUUAUUUGCUGUUGCCUCCCUCUCCACCAGAGUCAGUGUGAGAAACAAGGAGCAGCUUAUUGUAGAAGCACACGUGGGUACAGUCCUGGAAAUGACCAAGGUUCUGCACAGAACACCUUCUUAGGGAGUGUUCUGCUUACAGAACUGAGCGAGGCAGAGUUCUUCACCACAGCCAUUGUCGUACAACCAGAAUCACAGAAUGGCUUGGGUUGGAAAGCAACUUAAAGCCCUUCCACUUCCAACCCCCUGGCAGGACAGGGAUACACCACCACCCAGCUGGCCAGGCUCUUAGGGCCCUAUCCAACCUGGCCUUGGACACCUCUGCAGAUGGGCAUCCACUGCUUGUCUGGACAGCCAAUGCCAAGACAUUAAUCCCCCUUACAGUGAAGAAUUUCCUUCUAACAUCUGACCUAAAUCUGUUCACCACAAGAAGUUCUGUACAUUAACUGAUAAAGGCUGAUAAAGGCUGAUAGGUUUGUGGAUGUUGUGUUGUAUCACGGGGGGGACAUCAGCAAGUUGCCACCAGUACCAGCAUUAAAGUUGUACUAAGAGAUUUCUAAGUGUUUCCUGGCCAGUCCUCAGCUGUGUUUUGGAUCACUGUCCUUUAGAUUUACUAAGAUGCUUUUUUUCUUCUUCUUUUUUUUUUUUUUUUUCCUCUCUUUCUCUCUCCAGAGAAGUUUUUUCUGCUUUAGGCCAAAAAUCUUUUGCACAACAUUUCCUCUCCUCUGCCUGGGUCUGCUGCUGCUAUUGUAAGCUGUCUGCAGAUGCACAGUGUGCACUGGUUCCUUUUUCUGGCUGUUACACAGGGCUAAAAUAGUGUAUACCAGAAUGCUGAAAAUGACACAUUUUUAAGUGAGCAAGAAUGUGCCCUAGGUGUACAGCUGUUUUGCAUGCAAAGACAUGACUCAGAUACAGCCUUUUUAGACAAAAACCUUUUGUUAUACUGAGAACAUAUGUAACAAUAGCCUGGGGGGGCAGAAUAAUAGAGCACUUGUUGUUUUGCAAAGGGGGGGGUGGGAAGAGAAUCUAAAAAUAAGGAAAUUGAAAAUUUAAGUGAUAUUUAAAACUUCUGUUUCUUUCACUGCCAUGUAGGGCAUAAAAAUGUUUACUUAAGGUGCUACAGGCGAAUUCUUCGUCCAUAUUGCAUGCACUGCCCACAACAGCUGCCUGUCAGACACAAACACAAGCAGAGUGCUAGCUGAUUGACUGUAAUCUGAAAUAUGCUGGUAACUGCUGAUUGAGAUCACUUCACUCCCACCACUAAGUACUGAGGCAUUAAAGCACAAAGUGAAAAAGAAAUGUGAAGUCUGGAGCACAAACCUACAGAAAUCUCCCUGUGAGUGGAUUUCCCUGAAUUCUAUUAAUAGAUGCAGCUGAAGGUGUAUAAAACAGUGUCUAAGUGCUUGUAGCUUUAUACAUGAUGGGCAAUUCAAGGCACCAUUAUUA